GGGGGUGAACGGUUUCGACUUUGUGCGUUGAUUCAAGGGAAGCGUGCCGGUGCAGGCGAGAGACCACCGCAAGCGUCAUCGCAAACCAAUAAGCGCCGAGUCUAACGACCAGGCCGCUUACUCCCUCGCCGCCUGAGGCUAGGAGAGUGAGCUGUCAGCCCGGAGGUGCCUCCGCUCCGGAUGCUGGCAUCAGCUAGGGGGCUGACCUUCGUUCCCGGUCACGGGGAGCGCUAGGGACACUCACAGUGACUGGGCCCGCCACGGCGACUUGUCCGCGUGAUCGCCGGGGCCGAGCAGAGGCACAGCGGACUGCGCACGGAGAAGCCUUGAUGAAGCGGCAGAGGACCCGGGUUCGAUUCCCGGCACCUCCACCA
rnacentral:tmRNA from 1 species